rnacentral:rRNA from 1 species
ACCUUAGAUGUUCUGGGCCGCACGCGCGCUACACUGAUGCAUUCAACGAGUUUCUUCCUGGUCCGAGAGGAAUGGGUAACCUUUUGAAAGUGCAUCGUGAUAGGGAUAGACUAUUGCAAUUAUUGGUCUUCAACGAGGAAUUCCUAGUAGACGUAGUUCAUCAGACUGCAUCGAUUACGUCCCUGCCCUUUGUACACACCGCCCGUCGCUCCUACCGAUUGAAUGCUCAGGUGAGCCAUUCGGACUUUCAUCAUGCUGGUUUCCAGUUUUGAUGAAGGAAAGUCUUGCGAACCUUAUCAUUUAGAGGAAGGAGAAGUCGUAACA